UUGGUCCUACUCAUAUAUUUAUAUAAAAUUAAUGUUAAAAUUAUAAAAUAAUUAAAAACAAAACAAAUUAAAAUAAAUAAAAUUAGUUUAAUAAACAUAAAACAAAUUAAACUGAAAAACAAUAUUCCUAGAUCUCAUUCUCCUCUUUCUCCGUCCCCGUGCAGUUUCUUCUUCUUCGAGUCAUGGUCGAAGCAAGAGCUGGGUUGAGUGCUUGUCGAAGACGGAAUGGGAGCUGGGUUGAGAGGCCAGGGACAAGGCAAAUCAUGGUCUGAACUGGUGCCAAUCUCUUCUCAUCUCUUUUUCUUCCUCUUCUACCUUUCACUUUCUCUUCCGCUACUGUAGCUGAUUGGCGCUGGUUAUAGGCGCGUCUGGGAGGUUUGAGACGAUUGUGGGCUUUUGGCUUCUAACUUUAGCUCAUGGGAACGACCAAUCCAUACCGAAGGUGGAGGAAUUGCGAUAUAGCUUUGAGGGGCUGGUUGAAGGCGACGCUGGAUGUAGGGGACUUCAGUUCUGAGCGAUGUGGCGACUGAACUGGGCUGUGGCGAUGGAGGGUAAAGGCAACAAUAGAUAUAGUCUAUGGAGGUGCAGCUUAACCGACAACAAUGAGGGAGCUUGAACUGGGUUUAAUUUUUUUUUCAAAAAAUAAUACAAAUAUGAAUCUAAGACAUGUUUUCUUUUCUAAUUUAUUUUGGGUUUGAGAUUUUGAUUUUGUAUAACUUUGAAACAGGUUGAAGACUUGAUUUUGUUAUUGUUUCUGAUUUCGGUUUUGGAAUUUGAUUUGGGGUGUGAUUUUAUUA